GGGUAGUUUGACUGGGGCGGUCUCCUCCUAAAGAGUAACGGAGGAGCACGAAGGUUGGCUAAUCCUGGUCGGACAUCAGGAGGUUAGUGCAAUGGCAUAAGCCAGCUUGACUGCGAGCGUGACGGCGCGAGCAGGUGCGAAAGCAGGUCAUAGUGAUCCGGUGGUUCUGAAUGGAAGGGCCAUCGCUCAACGGAUAAAAGGUACUCCGGGGAUAACAGGCUGAUACCGCCCAAGAGUUCAUAUCGACGGCGGUGUUUGGCACCUCGAUGUCGGCUCAUCACAUCCUGGGGCUGAAGUAGGUCCCAAGGGUAUGGCUGUUCGCCAUUUAAAGUGGUACGCGAGCUGGGUUUAGAACGUCGUGAGACAGUUCGGUCCCUAUCUGCCGUGGGCGCUGGAGAACUGAGGGGGGCUGCUCCUAGUACGAGAGGACCGGAGUGGACGCAUCACUGGUGUUCGGGUUGUCAUGCCAAUGGCACUGCCCGGUAGCUAAAUGCGGAAGAGAUAAGUGCUGAAAGCAUCUAAGCACGAAACUUGCCCCGAGAUGAGUUCUCCCUGAGACAUUAAGUCUCCUGAAGGAACGUUGAAGACGACGACGUUGAUAGGCCGGGUGUGUAAGCGCAGCGAUGCGUUGAGCUAACCGGUACUAA
rnacentral:rRNA from 1 species